rnacentral:rRNA from 1 species
CUAGGGUGGCAGCAGUGGGGAAUAUUGCACAAUGGGGGAAACCCUGAUGCAGCGACGCCGCGUGAGCGAGGAAGUAUUUCGGUAUGUAAAGCUCUAUCAGCAGGGACGAAAAAAGACGGUACCUGACUAAGAAGCCCCGGCUAACUACGUGCCAGCAGCCGCGGUAAUACGUAGGGGGCAAGCGUUAUCCGGAUUUACUGGGUGUAAAGGGAGCGUAGACGGCAGCGCAAGUCUGAAGUGAAAUGCCGGGGCUUAACCCCGGAACUGCUUUGGAAACGGUGCAGCUAGAGUGCAGGAGAGGUAAGUGGAAUUCCUAGUGUAGCGGUGAAAUGCGUAGAUAUUAGGAGGAACACCAGUGGCGAAGGCGGCUUACUGGACUGUAACUGACGUUGAGGCUCGAAAGCGUGGGGAGCAAACAGGAUUAGAUACCCUUGUAGUC